rnacentral:lncRNA from 1 species
CAAUAUAUAUAUAUAUAUAUAUAUAUAUAUAUAUAUAUAUAUAGAGAGAGAGAGAGAGAGAGAGAGAGAGAGAGAGAGAGAGAGAGAGAGUGAGGCUACUAUGCUUCUGAAAAUACAAAGCCUUCCGUGCUUUCAGGUCGUUUUCGAUAUUGCGACUUUUGAAUUGUCGAUCGGCUCUGUUAAACUUGAUCUAAAGUAUUUGAAAUACUUAGAAAAUAAAUUUUAUGAUUUUUUGAUAUCAUAUGCCUAGUGAUCGAAGGGGCUCAAAAUCAAUAAUUUUAAAGGCCGUAGUGAGCCGUUUGCAAGUUUAACAGUAUAGAAAUAUUCAAAUCACGUGAAAUUUUGAUAGAAAAUUUUUUAUACUAUAUAAAAUAAAAUCAAUAUCUUUGAUCUAAAAUUUUAAUGUCAUAUUAUUACGUUUUGUAAGAUUUUUAUUUUCAGCCGUUGAUUUUGAGCCACUUAAUUCAUUAGGCAAAUGAUAUCGAAAAAUUGCAACAUUUAUUUUCUAGAUACUUCGAAUACUCUAGAUCAAGUUUAACUGAGCUGAUCGACGAUUCGAAAGUCGCAACAUCAAAAACAACCUGGAAGCACGGAAGGCUCCGUGCUUCUAGAAGCAUAGUAACCUCACUCUAUAUAUAUAUAUAUAUAUAUAGGCUAGAAUACUAUUAAUAGCACCAAGCUAUUGGUGCUAUUAGUUUUUUAGCCCUUGGAUUGAGAAAUAUACGGUUAGGAUGAUUUGGGCCCUUUAAGAUUGAGUGGGUGGUUGGUUGGUUGAAUAGUAUAAUCUAACGGGUAAAAAUAAUUAAAGGAUUAAAUCUAAUAAUGGAAAACUCGAUAGCAUCAAAUCCUGGUGCUAUCGAUAGUAUCCAACCGGACUCUCUCUCUCUCUCUCUCUCUCUCUCUCUAUAUAUAUAUAUAUAUAUAUAAUUUUAAAAAGCAGCAAACAAAUACACAAAACAAGCAGUAAAUUCAUUUUCUUGAACUUCAACUGACAGCAACUACUACAUGCUUUUCGUCCAAAAUGUGUUACAUACACAUUUAUAAUAGCUGUAAAUCACGCUGUUGCAGUGAGUAAAAAGUACGUAGAUGAUGCAUCAUACAUCUUUAUUGCUUUAUACAC